rnacentral:rRNA from 1 species
CCUACGGGAGGCAGCAGUGGGGGAUAUUGCACAAUGGGGGAAACCCUGAUGCAGCGACGCCGCGUGGGGGAAGAAGCGCCUCGGCGCGUAAAGCCGUGUCAGCAGGGAAGAAAAUGACGGUACCUGAAGAAGAAGCCCCGGCUAACUACGUGCCAGCAGCCGUGGUACUACGGAGGGGGCAAGCGUUAUCCGGAUUUACUGGGGGUAAAGGGGGCGCAGACGGCAAUGCAAGCGCGGAGUGAAAGGCCGGGGCCCAACCCCGGGACUGCUCUGGGAACUGCGUGGCUGGAGUGCAGGAGGGGCAGGCGGAAUUCGUGGUGUAGCGGUGAAAUGCGUAGAUAUCAGGAAGAACACCGGUGGCGAAGGCAGCCUGCUGGACUGCAACUGACGUUGAGGCCCGAAGGCGUGGGGAGCGAACAGGAUUAGAUACCCCAGUAGUC